GACCCGAAACCCGGUGAUCUAGCCAUGGGCAGGUUGAAGGUUGGGUAACACUAACUGGAGGACCGAACCGACUAAUGUUGAAAAAUUAGCGGAUGACCUGUGGCUGGGGGUGAAAGGCCAAUCAAACCGGGAGAUAGCUGGUUCUCCCCGAAAGCUAUUUAGGUAGCGCCUCGUGAAUUCAUCUCCGGGGGUAGAGCACUGUUUCGGCUAGGGGGCCAUCCCGGCUUACCAACCCGAUGCAAACUGCGAAUACCGGAGAAUGUUAUCACGGGAGACACACGGCGGGUGCUAACGUCCGUCGUGAAGAGGGAAACAACCCAGACCGCCAGCUAAGGUCCCAAAGUCAUGGUUAAGUGGGAAACGAUGUGGGAAGGCCCAGACAGCCAGGAUGUUGGCUUAGAAGCAGCCAUCAUUUAAAGAAAGCGUAAUAGCUCACUGGUCGAGUCGGCCUGCGCGGAAGAUGUAACGGGGCUAAACCAUGCACCGAAGCUGCGGCAGCGAACGUAUCACCCAAGACAACUUUACGGAGUUGACGAUUGACGGAGCGAAGCGACGUCAAAGCGUUCAUUAAAGUCGAGUUGGCUUAGGGAUACGUUCGUUGGGUAGGGGAGCGUUCUGUAAGCCUGUGAAGGUGUGUCGUGAGGC
rnacentral:rRNA from 1 species